rnacentral:misc_RNA from 1 species
GAUGAAGAACGUAGCGAAAUGCGAUAAGUAAUGUGAAUUGCAGAAUUCAGUGAAUCAUCGAAUCUUUGAACGCACCUUGCGCCCUUUGGCUAUUCUGAAGGGCAUGCCUGUUUGAGUAUCAUGAACACCUCAACUCUCAUGGUUUGCCAUGAUGAGCUUGGACUUUGGGGGUCUUGCUGGCCUACGGUCAGCUCCUCUCAAAUGAAUCAGCUUGCCAGUGUUUGGUAGAGUCGCAGGUGUGAUAACUAUCUACGCUUGUGGUUUUCUGCCAGAUAACCUUCAGUGAUGGAGGUUCGCUGGAGCUUAUAAAUGACUCUCCCCAGUGAGGACAGCUUUUUGAACGUUUGAUCUCAAAUCAGGUAGGACUACCCGCUGAACUUAAGCAUAUCAAUAAGCGGAGGA